AUCCAGCUGACGAGUCAAAAAUGUGACGAAACACGCGUCCUGCAU
rfam:Schistosoma rodhaini strain Burundi genome assembly, scaffold: SROB_scaffold0006079